UACGUAGGGUGCAAGCGUUAAUCGGAAUUACUGGGCGUAAAGCGUGCGCAGGCGGUUUGUAAGUUUGUCGUGAAAGCCCCGGGCUCAACCUGGGAAUUGCGAUGAAGACUGCAAGGCUUGAAUCUGGCAGAGGGGGUAGAAUUCCACGUGUAGCAGGUGAAAUGCGUAGAGAUGUGGAGGAAGCACCGAUGGCGAAGGCAGCCCCUGG
rnacentral:rRNA from 1 species